rnacentral:tRNA from 1 species
GGGGAUAUAACUUAAACUGGUAGAGUAUAUGUUUUGCAAAUAUAAGGUUGUUGGUUCAAAUCCGACUAUCUCCA